UAGCCAAAUAUCCAAUCUCCGCCUAACCCUCUAAAGAAUCUGACAACUAAAUACAUGACUCCACUUCAAUCUGCCACCAUCCCCGAGUCAUUAAGGCACAAGAUCUCCGCAGGCAUUCGGCACACCCUAUCAUUAAUGCAUGAGACCCCCUCAGGCCUCCGAUGCACUCAGUCAUUAAAUGAACACGGCUCAAGAUGAUCUCCGGAUAACUGAACCAUCAAAGCGUAUGGCUCUUUCUGACCACCGGUUCACUCAGCAAUCAAUGCACUUGUCAUCUACGAACCCUAGGCCCACCACGGCCGGCGGUUCAACCACCCCAACGGGUCCGAUCAAUCGUGACAGCUCCCUGACAGUGACGGUAACCCAUUAAUUCGCCCAGUCACAUCACAGGUAACCCUGCCACUCUCCCUAUAAAAGGGGAGCUUCUCCCUAAAAGGGGAGGACGGAGGCUUCUUCCUCCCGAA
rnacentral:lncRNA from 1 species